rnacentral:rRNA from 1 species
GGAUCUCAGGCGUAGACGAAGGACAACGGGUUGAUAUUCCCGUACCGGCGCUGACGCGCCCAUGCUGAACCUGGUUGUGCUAACUGUUUGAUCGUGCGUGUCUUUUCGAAGAUAUGUGUGUGAGGGCAGGAUCCUGGCUGGUAGUAGGCAA